rnacentral:rRNA from 1 species
GUCAGUGCCAAGCGAAAGCGAUAAGUCAUCCACCUGGGGAGUACGACCGCAAGUUGAAACUCAAAGGAAUUGACGGGGGCCCGCACAAGCGGAGGAACAUGUGGUUUAAUUCGAUGAUACGCGAGGAACCUUACCCGGGCUCGAACGGUGCAGGAAGAGAUCCAGAGAUGGUGACGCCCUUAGGGGUCUGCAUCGAGGUGCUGCAUGGUUGUCGUCAGCUCGUGCCGUGAGGUGUCGGCUCAAGUGCCAUAACGAGCGCAACCCUUGCCGUCAGUUACCAGCACGUAGAGGUGGGGACUCUGGCGGGACUGCCACCGCAAGGUGAGAGGAAGGGGGGGAUGACGUCAAAUCAGCACGGCCCUUACGUCCGGGGCGACACACGUGUUACAAUGGUGGGUACAGCGGGAAGCCAUGUGGCGACACAGAGCGGAACCCGAAAACCCAUCUCAGUUCGGAUCGGAGUCUGCAACCCGACUCCGUGAAGCUGGAUUCGCUAGUAAUCGCGCAUCAGCCAUGGCGCGGUGAAUACGUUCCCGGGCCUUGUACACACCGCCCGUCAAGCCAUGAAAGCCGGGGGUGCCUGAAGUCCGUGACCGAGAGGAGCGGCCUAGGGCAAAACUGGUAAUUGGGGCU